rnacentral:rRNA from 1 species
UACGGGGGGAGCAAGCGUUGUUCGGAUUUACUGGGCGUAAAGGGCGCGUAGGCGGCGCAACAAGUCACUUGUGAAAUCUCCGGGCUUAACUCGGAAAGGUCAAGUGAUACUGUUGUGCUAGAGUGCGGAAGGGGCAACUGGAAUUCUCGGUGUAGCGGUGAAAUGCGUAGAUAUCGAGAGGAACACCUGCGGCGAAGGCGGGUUGCUGGGCCGACACUGACGCUGGAUGCGCGAAAGCCAGGGGAGCGAAACGGG